rnacentral:tRNA from 1 species
ACCUGGGUGGCUCAGUUGGUUGAGCGUCUGACUUUGACUCAGAUCAUGAUCUCGCGGCUCGUUGCGUGUGGCUUGUGAGUGUGAGCCCCAUGUC